AGGAAUAUAAAAAGGUAGAAGAAUCAUGAAAUUCAGCCCAUGAAAAUUUACAGCAGCUGUCCAAAGAAACAGGGGAUUUCAGAAGAAGGUUUUAAGCUCUUCCAUUGUUGACUCAUGGUCCUGAAAAUUUCUAUCAUUCCUGCCCCUCCAGACACAUUACAAUAGAUGGAAGCCAUCUUUCACAUUGCUGUACAUUCAGGCUAAAUAAGCAAUUCAGAUCCAGAUGUCUGUAGAUGCCCAAUACUUCACUUGGUUAGAAUUGUUCUCCCCGAAAUUGUGGGAAUAUGGUGUGUUUUGGUUCAUUCUGUGGGAUUAUAGAGGGCCAACUAUCGUUGCAUUGCACAAGACGGUGCCGUCUCACUUCGCUUAGUUGGUUUGCUAUUUCAGAUCAUGGUUCAUUUCAAAAAGUUCAUUAAGAUUGAUUUGGUAUGUCUGCAUAUUCAUACGUAUAAAUAGUAUAGACAAAUGGACAAGUCUUCAGCCUUAAGAUGUGGCUCUCUGUUGUAACUAUAAGAUUUACUUUGGUCCCCAGAUAUGUACAUUCAAUCUUGAUUUUGCACUUCUAUUUUAAAUCUUUGGAUUUCAGUCAAGGAGCUUGAUUCUGAGGAGCGAAAACAAGAGCUAUCGUCCAGCUUUUUUCAGAAAGGAGGAUUUGGAGAAUUCCCUUCUAAGGGCUGCCAAGGAGCAGAAUCAAAUAAAUCCUGCUUACAAACGAGGAAACAUUCAGGUUGCUGUUCUUGAGGAAGUUCUCAAGGGAAUGAAGGAGAGUUCUACUCCAAAUUGGGAUGACGUUGUUUUCAUACCUCCUGGUUUCGAUAUUUCUACUGAUCCCACCCGCAGAUAGGCAAUUACAAAAUGAGUUGGUCGUGACAUCUUCAUGUAGAUCAUCAAUUAAGUGAUAAUAUGAGAACGGUGUCUCAUGAUUGAUUUUGGGAUCAUCUCACAUCGUUCAUGUAGAGGGACUGGACAUAUAACUAGCAAGCAAACGGGUACAAUCAUGUACCACCUCAGCAAUGUGAAGUAUGCUAUAUUUUAUUGACUGCGAGACAAAUUUGGCUAUCUUUA